UCUUCAUUAUCCCGUUGUUCUCUCCAGGGUCUGGAGCAGUCGCAGGCAAUAAAUAAUUGAUUGCCUGCUCAGUGUAAGUAUAAUACGUGGUGACUCUCUUCGGUGGUCGGCGGUGGAGGAAAUGAAGUUUCUCUUGUGAACUGGUAAGUAGAUUCUCUCUCUGUGUGUUGUUGAUUUGCUGAACAGUGUGUUUAGUAUAUAAUGGUAAAUCCCACCCGUGUGUGUGUAUGUGUGUGUGUGUGUGUGUGUGUGUGUGUGUGUGUGUGUAGUUUUUAGAGGCAGCUUCUCUCACUGUUGUGGAAUUUGCCAAAUAGCCCAGUAGGUUAGGCUGGCAGGCCAGCAAGCCCUGGGAGUCCUCCUGUUUCUGGGGUUAUAGACAUGGAACACCAUACUUACAUCUUUCACAUGAAUCCUGGGGAUGGAACUAAGGUCUUCACACUUGGUGACAAGCACUAUACUAACAGGGACAUCUUCCCAGUCUGAUUCCAUAUAUUUUUAAAGUUCUGAAUUACAGACAUGUAUCCCCAUACUUGGCAUUUUUACAUGAAUUCUGGGGAUGGACUUUAGCUCUUCAUACCUUGUGGCAAGCACUUUACUGACUAAAAUAUCUCCCUAGCCCGAUCCCAUAUAGUUCCAAAGCUCUGGCACAAAAUAUUGAAAGCUUAUGCUUCGCCUGAAAAUCAAGAUGUAGUCUGCUUUCACAAGGCUAAAAUGCCUCUCACCUGGCACUGGUGGAUGGCUGGUGACAUGGGGACAAUUCUCCUUGCUACCUCUAUCUAGUGGCAGCUCGGCUGGAGUUUGGAGAGUUGCCAGUUCCUGCAGUAAACUUUGGGUAAACACUGCCCGCUUCAAUACUUUAUCUCUGGAGUCUCAGGGCUGGCCGGCUGGCCUGGAAAUGGUUUCCAGAGCAGGUAUUGCUCACUCGGAGUCAGAAAACCCACAGGCAGCUGUGGAAAACAAAA
rnacentral:lncRNA from 1 species